rnacentral:rRNA from 1 species
UACGUAGGUGGCAAGCGUUGUCCGGAAUUAUUGGGCGUAAAGAGCUCGUAGGCGGUCUGUUGCGUCCGCUGUGAAAACCCGGGGCUUAACCCCUGGCUUGCAGUGGAUACGGACAGACUAGAGGUAGGUAGGGGAGAAUGGAAUUCCCGGUGUAGCGGUGAAAUGCGCAGAUAUCGGGAGGAACACCGGUGGCGAAGGCGGUUCUCUGGGCCUUACCUGACGCUGAGGAGCGAAAGCGUGGGGAGCGAACAGG